ensembl:lncRNA
CUCAAGAUCUCUUCAGUGUAUCCUACACUGGUAUACACGUAUAGAUGGUGUCAGUGACUUUUUGUUCAGUGUUGUGUCACUGUGGGACUGGUGACACUGAAGCUCUGACAUUUGGAAAGCCGAUAACUCUUCGCGUUGAACCAAAGGAUGUGCCUAGGUCUUUGCCUACUUUAUCAAUAUUAACCUCUCAUGGCAGCAAUGAGAAGCUGGAAACAUGUCUGGCUGCAGGCUUCUUUCCAAAAGAAGGCGAAGUAUCUCUGUACACAGGUGACAAUGUUACGCCUGAAAAUCACACUGUUGAAAAUGCUGCGAUGUCCGCAGCUGGGACUUAUUACUAUGCUGCAUUUUCCAAAGAUGGAAUUAAAAAAUGUGCAAUGAAAGAUGUUUCCCUUGAUAAAAACGAUGUAAAACCCACAGCACAAAUCCCAUCCUGUGACCAGAACAGCACUCUCGGUAUCAGUACUUCUAAUAAUCUGACCAGUCCAAACAAAAUCAAAAUUUCUGGUGAUCCUAAGGGGAACACCAUGCUUUUGAUUGUGACUGGUCUCAGACUUCUGUUGGCUAAAGCAGUUGGUAUAAAUAUAUUGAUGACAAUUAAAGCGUUUCUUGUCUAAAGUUAGACAAAUCCAGAACCUUCCCUUCAACCUUCUGCCUAAUCUAAUACUGCUGAUAUUCAACUACACAGCAAAACCUCCAGUAAAUUAACAUUUAUGCUGUUUAUAUAAGUCUAGAUGGACAGAAAUGAAAGCUGUAGACAGUUAAUUUCCAAAUUGUAAGUGUUCAUAGGUGUUCACUGACAUUUCCUAAGAAAAUAACAUUUUAUGUUUUUGAAAAGCUUAUUUCCUGCGUUCAAAUUCUUUGGUUUGAUGCAUAAAUUUCGAACUAUGUGGUUAAAAUGUAAAUAUUUCAUUUAGUACAAUUUAUAUUCAUACACUUGUUAAGUUUGAUAAAAAGCAGAUAUUUGAACAAGCAGUCAUUUUCCAUGAUAUUUCUGUAUGAUGUUUAAUUUCAAUAUUCUUUACUUUAACUGUCCUAUUUGCUAUAUUUAUCUUAUAUACAUUCUUAUUGAUAUGUUGUCUAUAUGAAACAGAGUGUGCAUAUGGGGUUAAAAAGAAAUAGUGCAACAUGCAAGUUGUUGCACUAACCACAGGUUUAACAGCAAAUAACCCUGCAAGGCACGAUGUAAACCUCACGCUCAGAUAACAAUCUAGCACACAUUUUAAGAAACGCUGUGUUUCAUCAUUAUGCAUAAUUCUCAAGUGAGCACUUUGUCUGCAAUGAAGAAACAAGCAACAGCAAGUUCAUGCUUAAUUCAAUGCUCAUUCUUUGGCUUCAUGUAUAGCAGAAAUAUAUUGCUGCAAUCUAAUAACCUUCCAUUAAGUUUUAUAUUUGUGUAUGCUUUUAAUGAUUUGGAUCUAGGCAAAAAGAACAAUUGUUUUUAUGAAUCUACUAUGAAUCUAAAUAAAAAGAACAAUCAUGAUGCAUGUGUAUAUGGGCUAUGAUGAAUGGGGAUGAAUAUGUAUUUCUGAAGGAUGGGUAUGUAUGCCUUAAUAUAACAAUAAAAGUGCUCUUUACCAAAAUCAUGAUGUUGAGUUUAUUUGGCUCCCUCCUCUGGCUGUGA